rnacentral:lncRNA from 1 species
UUUUAUGAGUUGUGCACAUAACAAUAUUUGUAGACAAUGUCAAGGAUUUUUUCAUUUUAUGAGUUGACAUUAUCUCAUCAUUAUGUUAGAAGUCAUGAGUAAGUCAAAGUUACAUUAUUCUUGUUCAGGUUUGUACUUUCAUGACAUUUGUCAUUUAAAACGUCAUGAGCAAGCACGAUUUUAUUACUUUGACAUUCAUGUUGAUGUGAUUGUACUAGUGUUUAAGCUUAAAUAACAUCUG